UACGGGGGGGUAAGCGGUUGUUCGGAAUUACUGGGCGUAAAGGGCUACGUAGGCGGCCAACUAAGUCAGACGUGAAAUCCCUCAGCUUAACUGGGGAACUGCGUCUGAUACUGGAUGGCUUGGAUUCGGGAGAGGGAAUGCGGGAAUUCCAAGGUGUAGCGGUGAAAUGACGUAGAUAUCUGGAGGAACACCGGUGGCGAAGGCGGCGUCCUGGACCAACACUGACACUGAGGAGCGAAAGCCAGGGGAGCAAACGGGG
rnacentral:rRNA from 1 species